CAGUCGCCGCGGGAAUACGUAGGUGGCAAGCGUUGUCCGGAAUUAUUGGGCGUAAAGGGCUCGCAGGCGGUUUCUUAAGUCUGAUGUAAAAGCCCCCGGCUCAACCGGGGAGGGUCAUUGGAAACUGGGAAACUUGAGUGCAGAAGAGGAGAGUGGAAUUCCACGUGUAGCGGUGAAGUGCGUAGAGAUGUGGAGGAACACCAGCGGCGAAGGCGACUCUCUGGUCUGUAACUGACGCUGAGGAGCGAAAGCGUGGGGAGCGAACAGGAUUAGAUACCCCCGUAGUCCCUGUCUCUUAUAC
rnacentral:rRNA from 1 species